rnacentral:rRNA from 1 species
UGGGUAAUCUGCCCUCGAUACUGGGAUAGCCCGGGGAAACCCGGAUUAAUACCGGAUAGCCUCUCGAGUUUUCGGGCUCGUGAGAAAAGGUAGCUUCGGCCUCCGAUCGAGGAUGAGCCCGCGGCGGAUUAGCUUGUUGGUGGGGUAAUGGCCCACCAAGGCGACGAUCCGUAGCUGGUCUGAGAGGAUGAUCAGCCACACUGGGAUUGAGACACGGCCCAGACUCCUACGGGAGGCAG